rnacentral:rRNA from 1 species
GACGAACGCUGGCGGCGUGCUUAACACAUGCAAGUCGAACGGAAAGGCCUCUUUCGGGGGGUACUCGAGUGGCGAACGGGUGAGUAACACGUGAGUAACCUGCCCUUGACUUUGGGAUAACUUCAGGAAACUGGGGCUAAUACCGGAUAGGAGCUCCUGCUGCAUGGUGGGGGUGGGAAAGUUUCGGCGGUUGGGGGUGGACUCGCGGCGUAUCAGCUUGUUGGGGGGGGAGUGGCUUACCAAGGCUUUGACGGGUAGCUGGCCUGAGAGGGUGACCGGCCACAUUGGGACUGAGAUACGGCCCAGACUCCUACGGGGGGCAGCAGUGGGGAAUAUUGCACAAUGGGUGGAAGCCUGAUGCAGCAACGCCGUGUGCGGGAUGACGGCCUUCGGGUUGUAAACCGCUUUCGCUCAUGACGAAGCUUUGUGUGACGGUAGUGGGUAAAGAAGCACCGGCUAACUACGUG